CGCUUUUAAGUUCUUCCAUUAAUUCCUAAAACCUGUUUGAAGAACUCAAUUCCUAUAAAUAUAACCAUUUAGCAUCUUCUGCUUGUUCACAAGCUUGUUGCGUUGUCACACAGUUGUGCUGCUCAGUUUGAGAAUUCACUUACAGAGCUGAUGCAAAAGGAUUAUCUGAGAUUCAUAUUCCUGCAAAUCGAAGAUCAAAGCUAUGCUGCCAUACAUGCUGCUACAAGAAUGCUCUUGUCUCUACACCGUCUCAGAGGAUUCAGCCUCAUCUCAGCCAUCCCUGGCUGGGUCUACUUCUUAAUUACAGAAAUGCUCUUUGGGCCUGUUGAGGGAAUACAGAGAUCAGGGCAGUUAUUGCCUUAUCUCAAAUUAUUUGAUUAGCAUGUCAAUUGCAGGAGCUACAGGUCAAAAUUCUCUAACUUGUUUUAG
rnacentral:lncRNA from 12 species